rnacentral:rRNA from 1 species
UACGGGGGGGGCAAGCGUUGUUCGGAAUUACUGGGCGUAAAGGGCUCGUAGGCGGCCGACUAAGUCAGACGUGAAAUCCCCCCGGCUUAACCGGGAAGCUGCGUCUGAUACUGGACGGCUUGAAUUCGGGAGAGGGAUGCGGAAUUCCAGGUGUAGCGGUGAAAUGCGUAGAUAUCUGGAGGAACACCGGUGGCGAAGGCGGCAUCCUGGACCGACAUUGACGCUGAGGAGCGAAAAGCCAGGGGGAGCAAACGGG